CACUGGCCUUCGGAAUCAGACUGGGACUCCAUCAUCAGCUCUACUGGUACUCUAGCUUGCUGACUUCAGAUCCUGGGAACUUCUCUGCCUCCACAAUUAUGAUCAAUCUGUUGCUCAAGUUUUAAAAUCAUUUGAAAGACCAGACUUCCCUUUGCCUGCAGGUCUGAAUUAGUAGGCAUUCAGUGGCCUAUAAUGAAUGACAUCAUUUCAUUCUGCCCUUUUCCUGCCCUGCAGCUACAUGGCAGCGACUGAAUGAGGUCUGAGUUAAUUAAGAUGAAAUUACUUACUACUUUGCUUUUUCAUACCAAAGACAGGAGCUAUGCUAACAAUUCUAUCUUCCUG